AGAGAUAUUUGGAUGGAAACAUUAAAGUAAUGACUUUAGUGUGUUCCAUUAUGAAUGCAAAAUAUAAUGCCAUAUAGAAGUUUACAACAAUGUUGUUUGGUUGGGAAAGUUCAUUUAUGAACUCUCUAUUCGGUUCCAACCAGAAAGUGUAUGACACUAAUGGGGCGAUAGCUCAAGCCAGGGAAUCAAGGUCUCAUCAAGGUCCGAACUCAUAUGAGAGACUGAACCACAUGAUUGAGAAUCAUGUAUAAUGGUGACGUCGUUAUUCUCAAGGUUGCUUCUAUGGAUAACAUAUAGAUAUCCAUUGUCUAGGCCUACUACUCAGUCAUUUAUGAAAUAACUACAGAGGAGGUAUCAUCACUGAUGACCAAGCUGAUUGGCUCUAGUGCAAGUGGGAGAUUGUUGGAAAUGUGCCCUAAAACCAAUCAUAUGAUGAUACUUUACGGACAUUUCACAUGUUAAACUAAUCUAGUUUAAUAUCAAGGGCAAAGAUUAUUGUUUUUAAGCCGUCUCAUAUAUAAAUGUUAUAUGCUUAAACGAUAAGUCCAAGGAAUAUGUGAUUGGGAGAAUGCAAUCUAAAGAAGUUAGAUUCAUGAGACCAUUCUUUCGUAGACACAUCCUAAACGUUCCUGAUCAUAGGAUUGCCAAUUGGGCAUUGACAGUCCGUUAAGAUCAGUACGUGCUGUGUCUUCUCUCAGGAAGAGUGACUAGUCUCGAGUCAUUGGUGUGUGUGACAUCAAGACAAGUACGUAGGUGCUCAAUAGAGAAUGAGUUCACUGAACACGAUCAACGAAGAGUUCUCAUAUUCAUGUCACAUGAGAACUCAUGGUUGGGAUAAUGCAAAGUAGUCCUUUGACCUGAGGCAUCACAGCUGUCUUGUGGUUAAGUCCUUGAUCUUUGAUUAUGUCAAAGUCACCCCAUCCGCGGGUGUCCACGGCAUCGUUGGGGUUAAGCUACUUAGCCAUGGAGGCAAAUGAAUGCGCAACAUGGGAUCUCUAACCUUCAAAUCGUUUGAGGGAGAAUACUCUAUGAUAUGAUUUAGAACCUCUGGCCAGAGUAUGAAUGAGAUUUAGGAAAGCGGUCCAAAUCACAUUCAAGGUAAUCAUAUAAGCACACGAAUCACAUUGGAUAGUAGACAUGAAUAAAUAAACUAUCAAACCAAACAAUGUGGUCAAGAGUAUUAGAUUAGAGAAAGACCGUAUUGCAUUUGUAAUCCUAAACUGAAUAGGUUCUCCACCUCUUCUGAUUAGCUUGGGUAACCAUGAUAUGCUGCUAGGUGUCACUCAUGGUUUGUGGAAGCCCUAAACGUGUAUAAUCACUAAAGGGAGAAUUGAAAGUAAGUUUCAAUUCACAAUCGAUUUUAAAGAGUUUUAAUCAUCCACUGCCUCGCUAAAAGGAACCUAAUGGAUCGUACACCGUGUAAGGUGGAGAUUGAAGAAACAAUGGAGAUGAGUAAGAAUAAUUACAUGGUUUAAUUAUUUAUGGCAAGGAUUAAUUAAUAUGUUAAUUAAUCAAACGAAUAAAGUUCGUUAAAAGACCACGGGUUAGUUUUGGGCCUCAAGGCCCAAUGGGCUUCGAACGUCAAGCCCAUUGACUUAAGUUGUAUGACAACUUAAUACACAAAGGCCCAAAAGCCCAAUAAAACCCUUAUGGACGGCCAUGUUAGAGAGAAUGGCCUUUUGGUUCUUUAGGUCACUUAUUUGAAGUGACUAUAUAAAGGACUUUAUAGCCUAAAUUCAUUAAGGGUUUCUUUUAGAGAAAAUUGGUGAGAACUUGUCUCUCCUUUUCUCUCUAGGAGGCCGGCCCCCUUGGAGGGUGGAUCUAGCAAUCCCACUACUCCAAGGUCACUCAUUUCUUCUCCAAUCUCUCCUUGGUGUGGAUACUUAGAGGUUCUCAAUUUUGGGAACUUGGAGAAACCUUUUCAUCCAUCCAAAUCCAUAGAUUUUAGAUGCAAGGAAUGAAGGCCCUCUAUUUGGGUGAUUAGCCUUUGCUUAUGCAAAGAGGAAUCUACAAAGGUAUAAAUUUCAACUCACUUUGUUUUUUAGUUGAGUUUUGGUUCACCAAUCUACUAGGCUUUGAAUUUCAUGGGUAAUGUUUUGUUUUUGAAUGCAUGCAAGCAUGAUUCCACCUUUAAUUGUUAAUUGCAUGCUAUAUGAUGUUAUUCAAAUGAACAUGUUUUCACAAAAUCAUCCUUCAGUUAGGUUCAGAACUAAUCAUGUAAAUUGAUUCCAUGAAGUUCUAGGAUAAAUGCCAUGUUCUAGGGUUCAUGUGAUGUUCAUAAUCCUCUUCGUUCUUAAUGAGUUUCUAGGUGCUAAAUAUGAGUAUAUGUCAUGCUAGGUUGCACCUACAAAUACAAGUUUUAUGUUUAUGCCAUGCAUCUAACAGGCAAAGUAAUAGAGAAUUCUUACAAUCUAGUUAUAUGCCAUGCUAGAUAUGUGAACAUCUUAGUUGUGCAUUUGAAAGGGAUAAGUUAAAAGAUUAUAUCAUUGAUUCAAGAAUGUUUAGGGGAAUGCCUUAGCUCAUUUAAAGUCAGAUUUAUGUCCUAAAAACGUUUCUAACCUAUUUAAUGUCUUAGGUUUGUUUUUAAAUAGUUCUAAUUUUUUCCAUUUGCUUUCUAUCUUAAUUUCUUUUCCAAAAUUUCUCAAACCCCCCAUUUUAAGUCAUAGGAGUCUUUAACGAAUGCUAAUUUGUAAGAGUCAAAGGUUUUACUAAGCUGUUUCUCAGUCUCUGUGGUUUGACACCCUUACUUGUGCCGCUAUACUAUCCUUAUAUUUGCACUCGAAAGGAACUUCAACAAGUUCUGAUUGUAUUGUGAAACAAUGUAUCGAUAUGAUGACAAGUGAAUUUAAGAUGAGCAUGGUUGGUGAAUUAAACUACUUUCUUGGACUUCAAGUAAAAGAAGAAAAGGAUGACAUCUUAAGUAUUUGGUUUUCCUUGUCAAUUAUUGUAUUUGUGUAUCACAUACUCAAUUUAGUUUUAGACUACAUUCUCUGAUUAUAGUUGCUGCUACUGGGUUUAAUCGUUGAAGGAUGUGGCUCACUUCACUUCAAAAGGUUUGUUUUCAUGUCUAUAUUUUUGGUGCAUCCUGUUUAGUGUUGUUGUCUAGUCAAAAUUGCUCGCUGAUUCCUAGCUAGUUGGGCAGGCAAAUUAAAGGCUACCCACAUGGGCUUCCUGAUAGCUUUCUAUUGAUGGUUAGAUCUCAGCCCUUAAUCUUUUCUGAUCUAUUUGUAGUACGGCAAGUGUCUUUGGUAGGUGAAAAACAAACUGAUGCUUUUGGGGUUAAGAUUCUUAGUUAGGGUUCCUUUUUUUGGGGGGUUUAGCAUUUAUUUUAGGGAAAUAGUGCCUUCAAAUAUUUGAGCUUGCGUCUUCUUCAUUUAUGGAACCCUAGCAGAAUGAGAAGGAUUCUUGUUAUGAUGAUAAAGAAGAAAAAGAUGAUGUUAUUACUACUCUUGAAGCUCAAGUUUAAACAUUGUUGGAAUCUCAAGAAAACUUGAUGAAUCAAAUUCAUGUGUUGAAAGCAAAUAAUGUUAUGUAUCAUGAGGCUAAUCGGAAACAACUGCUUGAGUUGAAUGACAAGGUUAUUCAUCUUACCAUUGGUAUUGAAAACAUUGACAAGAUGAUGAGCCAUGGGAAACCUCAUAGUGACAAAAGUGGCGUUGGUUACAUGGAAAAUGGCUCAAGCUCGAUGGGUACCAAAUCAAGAUUUGUGAGAGAAUUUCUUCUUGUGGCACCUAAAGUCAAUCCAAGCUAAAAGUCUAGAUUUAUUCUCACAUGUUAUCACUGUGGUGAAUUGGGUCACAUUCGUCCUAAGUUUAGGAAACAUGCCUUUGGGAAGAAUGAUUCUUUGAAGAAUUAGGUGGAUCGAUUGGUCAAUGAAGUUAGAAUUGCUCAACUAGUACAAUCAUCCAGUAUGUAAAGGGUGAGGUGACACACCAUGACCCGGGAUGUCCACUAGGCCAUCCGAAUCGAGCUGUUUUGGCCGAUACCUAGAAGGUGACGAAGCCAUAAGGUUUGAUGAUAUGGAAAAAUGUGAAUAAAUUUAAACCUAAGAGUGCCUAAGAACCAGAGUGCGCUGGUGAAAGGGACUGAACCCACUUCAGAUGUGACUUUGGAGCAUAAGUAAGUACAGUAGACUGGGUUGAGAAUCAUACCAUCGAAAGAAAUCUCCAAUACUACGAUUUGCCACGAAUCCUCGUCGAUAAGAAAGCUCAACUAAUAAACUUGGAGGGUGAAAACAAAACAAGGAUGAGUAGCCUUGGAAAUAAAAUUUUGAUAGAAACCUUCUAAAACGUUAUAACCCCUCGCUGCAACACCUGUAUAGUUUCCAGAAAAUCAUACCACGUAUCCAUAUGCAAUCAAAAGUAUAUCAACAGUAAUUCCAUAAAUAUACCAUGAAACAACAUCUCAUCAGGGUUUAGUGCAAGCCCAGGAUCCGAACCAUGGCAACUGUCAAGUGAAUCCUUAAGUAUUUAAGAAAUACUAAAGGAUAAAUUCCUCAAAGAUCGAGGAAGAAUUAGAGUAACGUAAUGGAAGCGUAAAUGUAUUAGAUUAUGAAUCUAAUCCAUCAUUGGAUGUUUCUUCAUUAUGAAUGAAGAGAUAAACAAAUAUCUCUUUAUUAUGACUAAAGAGAUAUUUGGAUGGAAACAUUAAAGUAAUGACUUUAGUGUGUUCCAUUAUGAAUGCAAAAUAUAUUGCCAUAUAGAAGUUUACAACAAUGUUGUUUGGAUGGGAAAGUUCAUUUAUGAACUCUCUAUUCGGUUCCAACCAGAAAGUGUAUGACACUAAUGGGGCGAUAGCUCAAGCCAGGGAAUCAAGGUCUCAUCAAGGUCCGAACUCAUAUGAGAGACUGAACCACAUGAUUGAGAAUCAUGUAUAAUGGUGACGUCGUUAUUCUCAAGGUUGCUUCUAUAGAUAACAUAUAGAUAUCCAUUGUCUAGGCCUACUACUCAGCCAUUUAUGAAAUAACUACAGAAGAGGUAUCAUCACUGAUGACCAAGCUGAUUGGCUCUAGUGCAAGUGGGAGAUUGUUGGA
rnacentral:lncRNA from 1 species